rnacentral:ncRNA from 2 species
AUGAAGAAUGCGGAAGAGACUAUUUGAAUAUAGCGCCGAAGGAGUAAGUUAUAAACUAGCCAUGUAUAUCGAUGCUCUCAGGCAAAAGAACCGUACUUGGACA